AUUUUUUGUGGAAUUUUUUGGGGAUAUUUUUGGGAUAUUUCAGGGAAUUUUUUGGGAUUUUUUUGCGGAAUUUUUGGGGGGAUUUUCUGUGGAUGUUUUUGUAUUUUUUGUGAUUUUUUGGGAAUUUUUUUUAAUUUUUGGGGAACCUUUGGGGACUUUUUGGGGAAUUUUUGGGGAAUUUUUUUGGGGGAUUUUUUUGUAUUUUUUGGGAUUUUUGGUGGAAUUUUUGGGCAUUUUUUUGGGAAUAUUUUAGGGAUUUUUAUGGGAUUUUUUGGGAAUUUUUUGGAGAUUUUUUGUGGGAUUUUUGGGGGAUUUUUUGGGGAUUUUUGGGGGUAUUUUUGGGGAUUUUUGGAGGGUAUUUUUGGGGAUUUUUUGGGGAAUUUUUGGGAUUUUUUGGGGAUUUUUUUGGGAUUUUUUGGGGAUUUUUUGGGAUUUUUUUGGGAUUUUUUGGGGAAUUUUUUUGGGUUUUUUGGGAUUUUUUUGGGGAAUUUUUUAGGGAAUUUUUUGGGGUUUAACUGGACCAGGGCGCCCUCUUGUGGACAUGGAGGGAAUUGCAAAAAACAGCCCCGAAAAUUCCCAAAAUUUGGGAAUUUAUUGGGGAAAAAUUGGGGGAAAUUCAGGAAAUUUUAUGAGAAUUUUUUUUUGGGAUUUUUAGGGAAUUAUUUGGGGAUUUUUUUAGGAUUUUUAUGGAAUUUUAAUGGGAUUUUUAUGAGGAAUUUUUUUUUAUUUUUAAUGGGGUUUUUAAUAGGAUUUUAAUGGGAAUUUUUGGGGGAUUAUUUUUUAAUUUUAUGGGACUUCAAUCAGAUUUUACUGGGAAUUUUUUGGGGAAUUUUAUGGGAAUUCUGAUGGGAUUUUUUUGGGGAUUUUUAUCAGAUUUUAUGGGAUUUUUAAGGGAUUUUUUUUGGUAUACUAAUGGGAAUUUUCUGGGAUUUUUGGGGGGAUUUUAAUGGGAAUUUUGGGGGAUUUUAAGGGGAUUUUAAUGAGAAUUUUAUGGGAAUUUUGGGGGAUUUUUAUGGGAAUUUUUUGGGGUUUUUUAUGGGAAUUUUCAGGAUUUUGGGGGAUUCAAUGGGAAUUUAAUAGGAUUUCAAUCAGAUUUUAUGGGAUUUUAAUGGGAAUUCCUUGGGUGGUUUUGGGGAUUUUUAUGGGGUUUUUAUAGGAAUUUUGGGGCAUUUCAAGGAGAUUUUCUGGGGAUUUUAAUGGGAAUUUUAUGGGAAUUUUUGGGGCUUUUUUUAGGGAUUUUUGGGGGAUUUUUAUGGGAAUUUUUUGGGGACUUUAUUGGGAUAUUUAUGGGAAUUUUGAGGGAAGUUUUGGGGAUUUUUUAGGGGAUUUUUUGGGGUUUUUUUCCCCAUUUUUCCCUUUCCCAACCGUUCCAAAGCCUCCAAUUUGCAGCCCCAGCAGAAGGGCUGCUUUGCAUUUUUAAUUUAGCAACUAACAGCUGCAUACAUUUGCAUAUUAAUGAGUUGCAGAGGAAAUCAUGCAUACAUAAUGAACCCCUCGCUGCCUUUUGAUGGAUGGAGGUGGAAAAAAAAAU
rnacentral:lncRNA from 1 species